CUCCUAGACGUUUUGGGCUGCACGCGCACUACACUGAUGCAGCAAACGAGUUGCACCCGUUUCGGGUCCUGUCCAGCAAUGGUCGGGAAAUCGUUGCAAAUUCCAUUCGUGACUGGGAUAGAUGUCUGCAAGUACUCGCCUUGAACGAGGAAUGCCCAGUACAGGCGCUUCAUCAGAGCGCCCGGAAUGCGUCCCUGUCAUUUGUACACACCGCCCGUCGCUACUACCGAUUGAAUGAUUUAGUGAGGACUUCGGACUGAGUCCAAUGCGGCUUUCGGGCUGCGUUGGUAUUUCGGAAAGAUGUCCAAACUGUAUCAUUUAGAGGAAGUAAAAGUCGUANCA
rnacentral:rRNA from 1 species